rnacentral:rRNA from 1 species
UACGUUGGUGGCGAGCGUUAUCCGGAUUUAUUGGGCGUAAAGGGAACGCAGGCGGUCUUUUAAGUCUGAUGUGAAAGCCUUCGGCUUAACCGGAGUAGUGCAUUGGAAACUGGGAGACUUGAGUGCAGAAGAGGAGAGUGGAACUCCAUGUGUAGCGGUGAAAUGCGUAGAUAUAUGGAAGAACACCAGUGGCGAAAGCGGCUCUCUGGUCUGUAACUGACGCUGAGGUUCGAAAGCGUGGGUAGCAAACAGG